rnacentral:lncRNA from 1 species
AAAAAAAAACAACCCAAAAAUGCACUUUGACUGGCUUCACCAACGUGCAGAAAAGCAGAUGUAUCAGAUCUGCUGUCAGCACAACAGGCUUCCCCUUAAACACUCCCAACGCCUUACAAAUGCUCAUUAGCCAGAGUGCCAGGCAACCUCAUGCACCCAAGGAAAAAAGAAAAGAUACCCCAAAAGCAGUGACUCUGAGGUCACAGAACUACUCCACAGGCCGGGCACACUGGCUCACGCCUGUAAUCCCAGCACUUUGGGAGGCCGAGGUAGAUGGAUCACCUGAGGUCAGGAGUUUGAGACCAGCCUGGCCAAACUGGCAAAACCCCGUCUCUACUAAAAAUACAAAAAGUAGCUGAGCGUGGUGGCAUAUGCCUGUAAUCCCAGCUACUCAAGAGGCUGAGGCAAGAGACUCACUUGAACCAGGAGAUGGAGGUUGCAAUGAGCCAAGAUCGCACACUGACUGUGUUAUGCCCUGUGCAGGCGUGAGAGCCUGACAGUGACCUUGAAGGUCAGGACCCUCCCUGUGGCAGCGAGGGAAACCGAGGCCCAGUGAAGUUGAUGGCCAUCAGAGCUCAUUCAGCAGUCACAACACAGGAACGUCGAUACGAAGCGGUCAGGCUAGCCAGGCAGGUAAACAGAGGCAGGCGGAAUGAGCCUCUGGGCCAGGCCAAGGGGUCAGGACUUCUGCUGCAGGCAGAGGGGAGCCUCAAAAGGCUCCUGAGCAGGGGCAGCGAGCUCCCUGGCAAGGCAGUGGCUCUCAACCCCUCAGACCAAUCCCACUCCUUAAAACAAAUAUUACUAACACCUCCUAGAUCCUCAUGAAAGCAAAGAAACGAUUCUAUACACAAUUGUAAACAAUUAAUAUUGCCCUAAUUGUAACAGGAAGGAAUACAGAAAUCCAUCAAGGUAUGUUUUGACAUGUGAUGCUCAGGUGAGACUUCAGCAGAGCCAGGCUGCUCUGGGCGUGGUCCAAGGACCUGCAGCACAGCCUCCUUGGGAGCUCGGCAGGGAGUCCCAGGCAUCAGCAUCUCAGCAAGAUACCCGGGAUGGCUGGA